GAAAUCUUCAAAUGUCAAAAUCAGACAGCAAUUAAUAAUAUUCAAUUGGGUUAUUAAAAAGUAAAUCUUGCUCAUAAUCAGAAAUCAAUUUACCUGGCUUUCGUUGUCACCAAUUUUGAAAACAUCAGCAUCUGUAUCAACUUUUGCAGGCAAAUUUUGGGAAGGCACAGCAUUUUCUUUCAAAGACGCCUUACCUUAAAAGAUAAAAAUAAAUAGUAAAGACGAACUAACAAUGAGUUACUCAUUA